rnacentral:rRNA from 1 species
UACGGAGGGUGCAAGCGUUGUCCGGAAUCACUGGGCGUAAAGGGCGCGUAGGUGGCGGAGUAAGCGUGUGGUGAAAGCUCGGGGCUCAACCCCGAGUCGGCCAUGCGAACUGCUUUGCUUGAGCACUGUAGAGGCAGAUGGAAUUCCGGGUGUAGCGGUGGAAUGCGUAGAGAUCCCCAAGAACACCAGUUGCGAAGGCGGCUGACUGGACACAUAUUGACGCUGAGGCUCGAAAGCAUGGGGAGCAAACAGG